AUACUUACCUGGCAGGGGAGAUACCAUGAUCACGAAGGUGGUUUUCCCAGGGCGAGGCUUAUCCAGUGCACUCCGGAUGUGCUGACCCCUGCGAUUUCCCCAAAUGUGGGAAACUCGACUGCAUAAUUUGUGGUAGUGGGGGACUGCGUUCGGGCUCUCCCCUG
ensembl:snRNA U1 U1 spliceosomal RNA